rnacentral:lncRNA from 1 species
UCCAGUAUCGCACUACUGGGGAACAUUGCUGAUUUGACAUCAUGAUGCUAAACUCCUUAGAGUAACACCUUCACCAUCCGGCGAAACUAAAUCUCAAACGGUAACCACGGCUUGAGUCGCGCUGAUCGCGUAACAUUCCCAUCUCCGUUCGACGGAAAAGUUUCCUCCAGUAUCGCACUACUGGGGAAAUACUGUUGUCACGAUACCAAACUCCUCGGAGUAGCAUCUUCACCUUUG